AACGAACGCUGGCGGCAGGCUUAACACAUGCAAGUCGAACGCCCCGCAAGGGGAGUGGCAGCCGGGUGAGUAACGCGUGGGAACAUACCCUUUUCUACGGAAUAGCUCUGGGAAACUGGAAUUAAUACCGUAUACGCCCUACGGGGGAAAGAUUUAUCGGGGAAGGAUUGGCCCGCGUUGGAUUAGCUAGUUGGUGGGUAAAGGCCUACCAAGGCGACGAUCCAUAGCUGGUCUGAGAGGAUGAUCAGCCACAUUGGGACUGAGACACGGCCCAAACUCCUACGGGAGGCAGCAGUGGGGAAUAUUGGACAAUGGGCGCAAGCCUGAUCCAGCCAUGCCGCGUGAGUGAUGAAGGCCUUAGGGUUGUAAAGCUCUUUCACCGAUGAAGAUAAUGACGGUAGUCGGAGAAGAAGCCCCGGCUAACUUCGUG
rnacentral:rRNA from 1 species